rnacentral:lncRNA from 10 species
UCACACCUGCGUCUCAUAUCUGUUGGCUGAUCUGCAGGCUGGAGCCCCUGGUCUGGAGCAAGCUGAAUACAGAUGAUUGAAGCAUGAGACGCAUGUUCGAGAAGCCAUGAUUAUUUCUAAAUACUACAAAUGUGGUGCUGAGUUCUCUGGCAUCUUUAUUAGAAGGCACGUGAUGUUGACCUGUCCCAUUACUGGUGAUGUUCUCUUUGAUCAAUUGGUCCUUGUUCAGCUGUUCAAGCUCCAGAACAAUUGUUGCAUAUCUCCGCUGAAAUUCAAUGCUGAUGGGCAUGGAAUAUGAUUUCUGAGAAGAGAAAAAAAUCAGAUCUUGUUAUCUCAGAAGAGGAUAUAUUAAUAGGAACUUCCAAAACUAAAAAACAAAGAGAACAAAGACUGAAAAAAUCAGCACAGAAUGUCCAAGGAUUGUGGGACAACUACAAAAGACGGAGUCUCGCUCUGUUGCCACUUGUGAUCUCGGCUCACUGCAAUCUCUGACUCCUGGGUUCAAGCGAUUCUCCUGCCUCAGCCUCCCGAGCAGCUGGGAUUACAGGCGCGCGCCACCACGCCCAGCUAAUUUUUGUAUUUUUAGCAGAGACGGCGUUUCACCAUGUUGAUCAGGUUGGUCUCGAACUCCUGACCUCGUGAUCCGCCUGCCUCAGCCUCCCAAAGUGCUGGGAUUACAGGCGUGAGCCACUGCGCCCGGCCAGGAAGUAUCUUAUUUUUAGAAAAAGAGAAAAUUCUGUUAUAAUUAAUAUUAUAUUAAAAUCCAAUAAAAAGGAAAUUAUUUCUGGAGAUGAAGCAACUAUUUAUUUUAUUUAAUAUUUUCAAUUCAAAAUAGUGUGCAUACUUUGAAGUUGCUGUAAUAGAUGUGUAUUUCUUAAGAACAUAGUUCACCUUCAUAAAAAUCA